CCAGCCCGAGGCGCACGCCGAGCCCCGGCCAGCCGCGCUGCGCGUCCUCGGGCCUCGGGGGCGGCUGCACCCCAAAUGCCCCCUCGCCGUCCCACGGGGCCACCAACUAUCCUAGCGGGCGAGGAAGAGGCGGCGGGAAAAGGAGAGGAAGGAGGGCGCGAGCGGCGGCGGGCGCGAGAAGGCAGGACCCACGCCCGCCCGGAGCAUCACGUACCUUCAGCUCCUCGAUGUCCAGCCAGCGCUAAGGGGAUUUCUCUCAUCUGUCAAAAAGCAACAUUUCCUCUCCAGACGGAUACGGUGCUGCUGGGUCUUAAAGACUGCCCUCUGCCCAGAAUCCACAUCCCCAGGAAUGCCAUGGAGAUGCCUCACCAGUGUCCAAGAUGGUUCCCUGACUAUAGCGUGGCAUCCAUCACGUCCCCCUUCUGUGGCCCCUC
rnacentral:lncRNA from 1 species